rnacentral:rRNA from 1 species
UACGUAGGGUGCGAGCGUUAAUCGGAAUUACUGGGCGUAAAGCGUGCGCAGGCGGUUCGUUGUGUCUGUGGUGAAAGCCCCGGGCUUAACCUGGGAAUGGCCAUGGAAACUGGCGAGCUGGAGUGUGGCAGAGGGGGGUGGAAUUCCGCGUGUAGCAGUGAAAUGCGUAGAGAUGCGGAGGAACACCGAUGGCGAAGGCAGCCCCCCUGGGCUAACACUGACGCUCAGGCACGAAAAGCGUGGGGGAGCAAACAGG